GAGGAUGCAUCUCUUUUACUUUCUCUGUUACUCCCUCACCCAUCCAUCUCCUUCACACCGUCCAUCCAUCUUGGUCGCAUCGGCUAACCCACGCGUCGUCGGCCGGCACUCGCUACAACAGUUAUCUCUCUCUCUCUCUCUCUCCCUGUUUUCGCCUCACUCUCUCUCCCUCUGCUCUCUUCUCUUUUUUCCGAGCUCCCUCUCCCAUCUUCUCGCUUUUCUGACCUCCAUCUCCCAUGUUCUCUAUCUCGCUAUCUCCUUUCUCGUCUCUCACUUUCAUAAUUCAAUUUUCCCCAAUUUGAACCCUAAUUUGUUCGAUGCUUCGCUGCCUGUGACCUCCCAACUUGUGUUUGUGGGUAUUUGACUGCUUACUGGAUAUGUUCAUAAGAAGUUCAAUCAGCAAUAUAAAGCUACAAUUGGGGCUGAUUUUGUCACCAAAGAACUACAAUUUGAUGACAGGCUUGUCACUCUACAAGACACAGCUAGGCAGGAGAGGCUUCAAAGUCUCAGCGUUGCCUUUUAUAGAGUGACAGAUUGUUGUAUUCUUGUAUACGAUGUUAAUGCCCUGAAAUCAUUUGAUACUCUUAACAAUUGGCAUGAAGAAUUUCUCAAACAGAUUCGAGAUUUGAUAUGGACAUGUUUGGUAAUUUGGACGGUAGAUGGUAGCUCAUUUUGUGUUUUUGUUCAUAUUACCUUACAUGUAUUUUGGUUGGUUGUAAAUUUUCUAUUUUUGUUGGUAUCACAGGGCAUGUUGGGUAAUUCGCCCUUGAUAUUUUAUUUUUGUUGAUAUUAGUAGACAUGCUUUUUGUUGGAUAUUAGGAGAUGUGUUUGGUAAUCUGCAUGCGGUUGAUAUUAUAUUUUUGUGGAUAUUAGUAGACGCUUUUUGUGGAUAUUCAGAGACAUGUUUAUAAUCCGCAUGCAGUUCAUAUUGUAAUUUUGCGGAUAGUGUUGAAAUUCGAUUGUGAUGUUAUGAAAAUGAACAGAUUUUUGUAUUGAUUUGU